GAUGAAGAACGUAGCGAAAUGCGAUAAUUAAUGUGAAUUGCAGAAUUCAGUGAAUCAUCGAAUCUUUGAACGCACAUUGCGCCCGCCAGCAUUCUGGCGGGCAUGCCUGUUCGAGCGUCAUUUCAACCCUCAAGCUCUGCUUGGUGUUGGGGCCCUACGGUUGACGUAGGCCCUUAAAGGUAGUGGCGGACCCUCUCGGAGCCUCCUUUGCGUAGUAACUAACGUCUCGCAUUGGGAUUCGGAGGGACUCUUGCCGUAAAACCCCCAAAUUUUCUAAUGGUUGACCUCGGAUCAGGUAGGAAUACCCGCUGAACUUAAGCAUAUCAAUAAGCGGAGGA
rnacentral:misc_RNA from 1 species